UACGUAGGGGGCAAGCGUUUGUCCGGAAUCAUUGGGCGUAAAGAGCGCGUAGGCGGCCCGAAAAGUCCGCUGUGAAAACUCGAGGCUCAACUUCGAGCUGUCGGUGGAAACUUUCUGGCUAGAGUCCGGAAGAGGAGAAUGGAAUUCCUGGUGUAGCGGUGAAAUGCGCAGAUAUCAGGAAGAACACCCGUGGCGAAGGCGGUUCUCUGGGACGGUACUGACGCUGAGACGCGAAAGCGUGGGGAGCGAACAGG
rnacentral:rRNA from 1 species